GUAUAUAUUCAUUACUGAAUGAACGCCACUAAACAUUUACCAACAUUAAACAACAACAACAACGUUCAUUCACUUCUGUUCCUGGAUUGUGAAAUCCAAGGCUAAGGCAAGCCCGUGCAUUAAAGGUAUUCUGGCUGUAUAUUUUAUGGUUCUAUUUACCAAUAUUUUGAUGCAAUUAUGGAUGGUCAUUGUUGCAACUGUGGAGCUGAGUUUAGAGAGGAUUUAAGAAGACCAACAUUAAAGGCCUUAAUCAGAGGAAAAGGUGUAUCAUCAGUCGAUGGACUCAAAUCAAUGGGAAUUGUUGUAAGCCCUGGUAAAGAGAUACAGUAUCGCAUAUGCAAAAUCUGUUCCCAGUUGAUCGGCAAAAUAUCACAAUCAAAGACAGAAAUAGAGAAAUCACACUCUUGCCUUCAGAAUAUAAGUGAUGGCAGCACCUACCUUGGGCAGAAGAUUAAACGAUGUCAUUCUCCGCCAGCCUCUCCACCUCAAAAGAGAAGAAACCUUACUCAAACGCCCCAACAAAAUACCCAAGGGACUCAGACGGAGCCCAUGGCAGAGACCCCCGGAGACCCACCCAAGAAACGGAAAGAUACCUUCCUCCCCCAAGCUGCGGCCUACCUGGCAGCUGGGCGGUAUAAGCAAAUGAUGAAAAAAAUGAAGUCUUCAAGAUCCUUCAAUGACGUCAUGAUCAAUUCAGUAUGUCAACAAAUCAAUACUGAAAUCAAAUCUAAUCAGUCCAUCUUCGAAAUCAAUGACACAAAUAAAGCAAAGAGUUAUGAGAGCUUUUCAUGGAAAAAAACAAAUCAACGUCUGAAGAAAAAUUGCCCAACGAUGAUGAAAGUUCUAUCAGCAAUAACGGACAGGGGCCCAGUAAAGAAACCAACGUGAGAAUCACCAUGGCAGCAUCCCAGCUCCUCUACACCCGUGAUCCCAGAAAACACAAAUUCAUUCAGGAGUUGAUUGGAUUGUUGUUGUGGUUUGCAGGAACAAAGAGACAGGUUUUCGAGAGGCUGUCUAGGCUGGGUUUAUGCACCAACAUUGGGACCACCACAAAUUGCAUAGACACUUUGAGGGGUGAAUUUGACACUACCAUUCAUCACCAGAAACUGCAAAUCGCAGAUAUUAAGAGGAGAUCCACAAGGGCAAAGAAACGACUGGUUCCUGCUGAAGAAUGGGAGGAUGAAGGUGGAUGGGAGGAAGUUCAAGAAACCCCUGAAGAAGUGACCCCCCUUGUAUCAUCUCCAGUAGACGAAGGUCCUCAUGCCAUCGAUGCACUCCAACCUGACCUUGAUAGCUCAACCUUCGAUUGUGUCAACAUUGAUGACACUACCACAACAACAUUUGGAUUUACAUUGACAUUUGACAAUGUGAGUCUGUGGCCUUCAAGGUCACGGUUUUAUUCAGGUCAGCUAAACUUGGUGCAGUCUCAUGCAGCUAUAGACCGUGUGUCAUGCUUCAACCUUAGUGAUGAGGCUCCAUCCUUGAAAGAGCUAUCAAACAUAUCUCAAGAUAUCUUCAUCCCCACUACUGAAGACAAUGACAUGCUAAGGUAUGAGUAUGAAGUGAUGAUUGAACGGAUACUGUCCAAGCAUAUUCCAUGCUUCAAGGAUAUAGACGUCACAGAACACAUCCCGCAUCCAUAUCAGGCAGAGACUAAGAAAAAAAGUGUGAUGGUACCUUUAGGAGUCCUACAAAAAGAUGUAACAAACGUGUCAGAUAUGAUAGACGUUCUGGAACAUCUGCACAAGCAUGUUCCAGGAAACAAGUCUCCGAUACCAGUGAUACUGUACGGGGACCAGCCGUCUUGUGAGAGGGUCCGAGAUGCCAUCGGUGCUCGUAGUAAUGAAGAUACACCGUGGAAUCGCCUCGGCGGGUUACUACCAUCCAUACAGGAGUCGCAUAAGUGCUUACUCUUCCUAGAGGACACAUACAAACUUCUGUUUGAUGCAAAAAGUGUAAAGUCAUGUGGGAGCUUAUCUUUCAUUAAGAGCCGAUAUAGACACACUCAUGUCACACCGAAAGUCUCCAACUGUUUCAACUACGCCACAAGUAUGUUGAGAUUUGCAACAGAAGCACACGUGGUUGCUGCAGCGUGUGAGUACAUGGGCAUAUCAAAGCCCAGUGAUCCCCCCAAAGAUCUACCCCAGGAUCCUAACGCCAAGUCAGUAUAUUUCAGUGAAACAUGUAAAUCUGUACGGGACAAAUCUUUCCAUCCCUACCAGCUUGGUCAUCCUGCUGAGGAAGACGAGGAGCUAGAGGAUGAGGCCGAGGAGGAUGAUGAGGAUGAGGAGCUUGGACCUUUCUGCAUCUGUAAACAAAUCAGAGACAAUGUAGAAAUGGUGUUCUGUCACAACAAAAGAUGUGACAGGGGAAAAUGGUUUCAUCUUGAGUGCCUGCAGUUCAAUUUUCAAGAGCUUCCCAAAGGAAAGUGGUUUUGCAGUGAUAAGUGUCGUCAGCAGCAUCAAGAGGAAAGAGAGAACAAGAAGAAGGGAAAGGAGACUAAUCCAGAUACAAGAUUUGAGUAUUCUAAAGCUAUACUGCACUUAGGGCUUGGGGAGAUGGUGCGCCAUGAUGCAGUACGAGAGGGAGAUGGAAAUCGCAUGAUCCAACACUGGCGUCUAGAUCUGGUCCACUUCUAUGAAAAACAUCACUGGAAAUAUCUAAUCGAAGGUCACAAUCUGAUCAUGGAUGUUAAUGGUGGAGUAUCAGAAAGGGUAGCUCAUCAGCUUAGGUGGAAUAGGACAGAGAACAUACAUGGUGGUGAGGGGAAGAACGUAGGAAAGGAUAAAGACAACAAGGUGUCCAUUGACAGAGCUGGAGGGAUUCUAAAUGAGAGUAAUGUAUCACGUUACAGUCAAGUAGUGGGAAUGAGGAAGACUAUAAAUAGAAAGUUCGACCCCAAGAUGACGACGGGAAGGAUGACGACGGGGAGGAGGAAAGUUGUACAGAAACCUGAAGUCCAGGCCGGGGAAUCUGACACUGCAAAUCUUGCUGAACUGCUGGUAAAACACAAGUGUUUGGUGGAAAUCCCUGGAAGAUCACAUCAAGGAUUUGAAGACUUUGAGUUUGAACAAAAAUUGAAUCUCGACAGGUACAAAGCCAAGAUGUCAGCCCUGAGUAAGAGGAGAGUGAACAAGCUAAAGCAGCAGAGAAAUGAAACGGUAUGAUGAUCCAUGCAUCAAAGUCUGACUGUAAUUUGAGAGAUUGAAGUUGAGAUUAAGCUCAUUAAUGGAUUUUGUCAUCUUGAUGGAUAGGGAGUCAAAUCGCUUAAUCAGCAUAUAUUUUUUGGUAGAUAUUGUUUAUGCAUUGCUGAGUAUUUACGGUAUAUCUACCCUUAUGUGUGUAAUGAUGUGACAGCAUAAAACUGUAGUUUCCAUGUGAUACUUUAUUCCUCUGAACUAGGAGGAGAAGAAAAAAUUGAUAUCUAAAAUUGGUCACUGGAAACCAAGCAAAUUCCAUGAUUUUUCAUAUUUUAGAAGUGUAAUAUUCAUACGUGUAUAUGUUAUAUACAAGCAUUUAUGAUAUGAUGAUCUGGCUUAUUAUCCUACUAUAGGAUGAACCAUAACAUUCCCACAUUUUUAUGAAGCUUUUUAUGAAGUGUUUUUGAUUGUUAUAUAAUAAAGAGAGAUAUGCCCCUAUUUCUUAAAAGUAAAAGCUGAAACAAUGGAUAAUUUAUAUUAUUGUAUUUCAUGUUAAAAAUCUGCAUUAGCCUAUAUGCCUAAUGACUUGUUUAGUAUUCAUGCUAUUUACUUUCAUUCCUUAAUUACUUAGUGCUACAUGGGGUUCCAUAUUACUUUACUGUAUACGAGUUUGAUGAAACAUGUACUGCCAGAUAUGUCCCUUCUAUAGUUUAAUCAAUUAUUAGGUGCAUAUAUACAUGUAUGGGCAACAUAUCAGAUAUAUCCGUGAACUUCCAUUAAUACAUACCUAUCUGGCAGUAAUGAUAUAACCUCAAGGUCGGGAGCUAAUGCGAAGAUCCAACUCACAUCACAAAAUUCAGAGACAGUUGCUGUGGCAGGAAGGACAAGUGUAGGCACCUCAUGAAAAAAAGAAACUACACUACAGGCCUUUCUUGAAGCCCCUGAAAUGGUGAUAAGUUGAUAACAUGAUUGAAAUUGAUUUAACUUCACUUCCUUUCAAAUAUAAUUAAGCCAGAAAAGUUAAAACAGAGUGAAACUCUGUGCUUUCAACAGCAGAAUUAAUGCGCUACUAAUAAACGUUAAAGAUAUAUAUGUAAUUUUGAUUUUCUUCUACCAUGCAAACUUAUGUAACGAGUGUCAAUAUCUCUAUUGUGAGAAUCAUUCCAAAUUUUGUUAUUCAGAGCCCUGAAAAAUAUACAAGAUGUUAGAGUAGAAAGGUCAAAAAAUGAAUGAACAUGUUUCCUUUUUGUUGCAUGCAAUUGAUGCCUGGAAUUGAAAGGAAAAAAAGAGUAAAAGUGCUUUCACAUCCUUGAAUUAGCAACAUAUUGUGAGGCUCACAAUCAUUGUAUAUCAAUAAAAUGAGACCUUUGUUUCAAGUUUUCAUUUUAA